GAUCCUGGCUUAGGAUGAACGCUAGCUACAGGCUUAACACAUGCAAGUCGAGGGGCAGCAUGUUGGUUGCUUGCAACCAAUGAUGGCGACCGGCGCACGGGUGAGUAACGCGUAUCCAACCUUCCCUAUAGUAGAGGAUAGCCCGGCGAAAGUCGGAUUAAUACUCUAUGUUUUCCAAUGCAGACAUCUAAAAUGGAACAAAGGUUCACCGCUAUAGGAUGGGGAUGCGUCUGAUUAGAUAGUCGGCGGGGUAACGGCCCACCGAGUCGACGAUCAGUAGGGGUUCUGAGAGGAAGGUCCCCCACAUUGGAACUGAGACACGGUCCAAACUCCUACGGGAGGCAGCAGUGAGGAAUAUUGGUCAAUGGGCGAGAGCCUGAACCAGCCAAGUAGCGUGCAGGAUGACGGCCCUAUGGGUUGUAAACUGCUUUUAUACAGGGAUAAAGUGACGUACGUGCACGUUUUUGUAGGUACUGUAUGAAUAAGGACCGGCUAAUUCCGUGCCAGCCGCCGC
rnacentral:rRNA from 1 species